GACCGCGUAUAGCUCAGUUGGCACUUGGCAGAGCAUUGGGCUAGUAUUCCAAAGGUCGUAGGUUCGAUUCCCACCGUGGUCA
rnacentral:tRNA from 1 species